rnacentral:lncRNA from 1 species
CUGGUGGGCUCCCCUCUGUCUCCAUGGUAACGCAGCCGCCGCCAUAGCGCGAGCGUUGUCUUGUUUUUGAGCAGUAGCAGCGCGGCGGGUCCAGAGAAACUGCUUUCUUCCACAUUUAACGAUAAAACCUGACAAAUACACUCCCGAGGCUCCUCUGACUUCAGAAAAACACAAUGCUGGUGUUGCCUGUUUGGAGGCUUGCAAUCCCUCUGCCUGCAGUGCUGAUGAUCACUGUGAGCCUGUACAUGAUCCUCCUAGGGAUUGGGCUCUGGAUCCGAUACUGCCUCAAGGACUACUGUUCUUUAGAGUGCAGUGAAUGCUGUGCAGGCCUCUCUGUGUGCGAGCAGUGCAUCAGACUGGGUGAAAUGUGCGACUGCCGGCUGCCGGCUGUGGGACCGUUCCUGGCUGAAUCGUGCUCUCCGGCUUCUAGCUGUGUGUCAGCUGUCGCCAGAAAGGAAAGGUUCCUCAGAGGGUGCUGGACCGCCCCACCAUGACUGACAAAGGUUUGCAGAUCAUGUAAAUGUUAAACAACACUGCGUUUUUCAUAUUGUGCUGCAACCCACAAAGAAUUUGAAUCAGCAGGCUGUUAAACCCACA